CCAAUAGCGUAUAUUAAAGUUGUUGCAGUUAAAAAGCUCGUAGUUGAAUUUCGGGAUCAGUUGGUCGGUCGUGCCUCGGUACGUACUGGUCAAAUUGAUUCCUACCUUCUGACGAACCACGAUGUCAUUAAUUUGGUGUCGCGGGAAAUCAGGACUGUUACUUUGAAAAAAUUAGAGUGUUUAAAGCAGGCUCGCGCUUGAAUACAUUAGCAUGGAAUAAUGAAAUAGGACGUUUGAUUCUAUUUUGUUGGUUUCUAGGAUCGACGUAAUGAUUAAUAGGGAUAGUUGGGGGCAUUAGUAUUCAAUUGUCAGAGGUGAAAUUCUUGGAUUUAUUGAAGACUAACUACUGCGAAAGCAUUUGCCAAGGAUGUUUUCAUUAAUCAAGAACGAAAGUUAGGGGAUCGAAGACGAUCAGAUACCGUCGUAGUCUUAACCAUAAACUAUGCCGACUAGGGAUCGGAUGAUGUUAAUUUUUUAAUGACUCAUUCGGCGCCUUACGGGAACCCAAACACUUUGGUUUC
rnacentral:rRNA from 1 species